UGUAUAAGAGUUGAGCUCAUUCUUAUCAAUUAAGGGCUCAAGAUAUUUGGAGAGGGAGAGAAAGUUCUAGAGAAAGAGUGAAACAAGAGGAGGAAAAAGAUCAAAGGGGGAAUUAAGCCAAAUCUUCACCAAAUCAAGCAUCUAAGGUCAAGACUCGGAGACCAUACAACCGGUUUUGGAAGCCCAUUGUGAGCGUUCUGGAGGACAAGCCUAGGAGGGGUCUUUAGUUGAGCCACCGUUUUGAAGCUUAUCGAGUUGUUUCCUGUGCCUCCGAGUUGGGGCUAGGCCUGGAAGGCCGUUGUUAAUCUUUUGAUCAUGUACACUUUUGACCCGUGCAUAUGUUUUGCAUAAGAUAUUAUGUUAUACGUUAUGUAAUGUAUGUGGGUAAAUUAAUGUUUUUGCAUGUACAUAUUUAAUCAUAUAGAUGCACAAUUCAUUGGA